CAAUAUUUUAAUGUACUUUGUCAGAAAUUUUCUAGGCUAACUUGGAGGAUUGAGACCUUGAAGAGAUUACAGAGUCAACACAUUGAUUUAUCUUUAGACAUUCAUCAUCUGACUAUGCAGGCUAUCCGAGUUGCCAAAAAGGUUGAGGAUGCCAUCAUUUUUGAUCAAGAUAGCAUCAAAAUUCUUAUUGCUACUAUGUGGAGGAUGGAGUCUCAGAUCGAUUUGCUUAUUGCUUAAAUAUCUCCAUCUCGAUCUCGACCACCUCCCAACUAGCGUAGACCUUCUCCUAGUCAGCCACACCCCUCCUCUUCCUCAGUUAGACCACCUUUCAAUGCUCUUGUUAAGCCAAACACUAGUUUUCCUCUCCUUGGCUUCGGGCCCUCUGUAAGGAUCCGAAGCAAGAGAGCUAUGCCCUCCUCAUCCUCUGAUCCAUUAGAGCCUAUCAUAGAAUUUCUGCUUGAUGAGGACUAGCUCUCUUAGGUUUAAAAUGCCUUUUGAUGUCUCUCAUCUUUAGUGUUUUGCUCUAUUAUGUAGUGUGAUGUGAAAUGUUAUAUUAUUUGUAAGGUAACUUUUUGUAAACAAUACAAAUUUAUAAUAAAUGCUAUCUAUAAAUGGAUAUUUGCUACAGUUUAUCUUAACUCCUUUGCA
rnacentral:lncRNA from 1 species